rfam:Macrostomum lignano unitig_19342, whole genome shotgun sequence.
GGGGUUGUAGCCUACUGGUUAAAGCGUCGGACUCAUGACUUGAAUGUCGGGGGUUCGAUUCCCGAUCCCA